CUCACCACGAGGGAUCUGUCUCCUCUUUUCAACUUGUUAAAGGGGGGAGAGGAGCUGGAUUCCCCGAGGGCCCUGACCCAGGAGGCCAAGUCAGCCCUUGAGAAGGUUCAACAUGCCAUCUCAACACGACAAGCCCACCGAUGUCGUGAGAACCUCCCCUUCAAGUUCAUCAUCUUGAGUAAGUUGCCGCACCUCCAUGGGCUCAUUUUCCAAUGGGACAGGAGCCAACGGGAUCCCCUCUUGAUAAUAGAGUGGGUAUUCCUUGGUCAUCAAUUGUCCAAGAGUAUUACAAAGCCACAAGAGUUGAUGGCCCAGUUGAUCAUGCGGGCCAGAGCACGCCUGCGAACGCUCGCAGGGUGUGACUUCACAUGCAUCCAUCUUCCCAUCAGGACAUCCACGGGGAAGAUGACGAAAGAGACUGUUGAGCACCUCCUUAGAGAGAAUGAAAACCUGCAGUUUGCCUUGGACAGUUACACCGGGCAAAUUUCCGUGAACCAUCCUGGCCACAAAUUAUUUAUCACAGAAUUCAAUUUGAUCCCAAAAGAAAUACAAAGUCGACGUCCCCUCAAAGCUCUGACCAUUUUUACCGACGCGUCCGGAGGGUCCCACAAGUCAGUAGUGACUUGGAAAGAUCCUCAAGCCCUGCGGUGGGAAACCGAUGUUAAGGCUGUGGAAGGUUCUCCACAGAUUGCAGAACUGGAUGCAGUCGUCAGAGCUUUCGAAAGAUUCCCACAACCCUUUAAUCUAAUAACCGAUUCGGCGUAUGUAGCAGGUGUAGUGUCCAGGGCAGAAAAUGCUGUGCUCAAAGAAGUCUCCAAUCCCAUCCUGUUUCGCUUGCUUUCGAAGUUAAUACAUUUGGUUUCCCACCGAGAGCAACCGUUUUUCGUUAUGCAUGUGAGGUCGCACACCGAUCUCCCUGGCUUUAUUGCCGAAGGCAAUCGCAGAGCGGACGCACUGGCCGCACCCUUACAACUGGCUGGCCAACCUGACAUCUUCCAGCAGGCCAAAUUAAGCCAUCAACAAUUCCACCAGAAUGCCCCAGGCUUGGUUCGCCAGUUCAACCUUCGGCGUGACCAAGCCAGAGCAAUUGUGGCCACAUGCCCAAACUGCCAGAAAGCAGCACUACCAUCGCUAGCCUCUGGGGUAAACCCCAGAGGUCUCCGCAGUUGCGAGGUGUGGCAAACUGAUGUUACACACAUACCCGAGUUCGGGAGGUUCAGGUAUGUCCACGUCACAGUGGAUACCUUCUCGGGAGCCGUCUUCGCCUCGGCCCACACGGGAGAAAAAGCAGCUGAUGCACAAAAACAUCUUAUCCAUGCGUUUGCGGUCCUGGGAAUUCCAUCUUCCAUUAAAACCGACAACGGCCCAGCCUAUACCUCCAAGGCGUUCGGCAUCCACCAUGGUCCCCAUUGCCAUCAUCGUCACCUGGCAACUUCUUCUUCAAGCCUUGGACCAGUCCCUGGUAACCGCGUGGAUUGUCCCACAGCCCCGCAAGAACGUGUGGGUAACCCUGGCCCAUGCCCUCAAUCAGAACCAUCUUUGUCUAUCUACGUCAGCAGCAGACAACCCUAUGUCGACAUGUCUGGUGAGGAUUCCUUCCAAACUGAUGGAUUUUCCCAGCUCCCUUUUAAACAUCCAAGGCCAACUGAAUGAGAAUAAUCCGCCAGGUCAGUGGGUGGAGAUUUUUCGGUACUGGGGGGUAGUAAAUUAUGCAAAAACACCCGUAACCAACCCCCUAGAACUGUGGCGCAAGUGGGUAUUUGACCUGCCCUACGCCGAGGCCGAGCCCCAGGAAUUCGAGCUACUGGGCUCGGCCAAAGCAGACCUCUGUGUGCACUUCGAUUUUACACCAUCGUCUCGAGUUAAGUCCUACGAGAAUGUCAAGCAGCACAAGCUAGAAUUCCAGCAGCUGCAUGGUGCACACAGGUGGACAAGAUAAGCGCCCCAUCCACUGACGAUGGGUACCCCAGAAAAUUAGAUAAAGGUGUCUUCUUGAUCUGUGGAGACAGGGCGUACCCAGGAAUCCCGUCUCGUCUCCUAGGAGGCCCGUGCACCCUGGGGCGACUGUCACUGGCGUCACCCAACAUGACGCAAAUUCCGAUUCGGCACACCAAAAAGAAUAUAAAAAUUGUAAAAAGGGGUGCAAAACAAUUUGACGAGCAUUGUGAUAGUGAAAUUUAUCAUUGGGCCAAAUCCAAGAGGAUCGCCGUCUCCGUCUUUUUACCCUGGGUAGCGGCGGCCAAGUCUCUUAGUGAACUUGGCAACCUCGAAUGUUGGGUAACACGCCAAGCGAAUUUGACCUCGCAGGCCCUAAGUGACCUCCUAGCAGACGAGGAGAUCACCAGACGCGCGACCCUGCAGAACAGGGCCGCCAUCGACUUUCUGCUGCUGGCACACGGGCAUGGUUGCCAAGAGUUCGAGGGGCUGUGCUGCUUUAAUUUAACAUCUCGAAGCAAAUCAGUCCACGCGUCGAUCCAGGAAAUGAGAGACCUCGUCGGUACCGUCAAGCAAGAGAACGAGGACUGGUUCAAGGACUUGUUCAGGAACUGGGGACUUUCAGGUUGGAUGCUCUCCCUUAUAAAAGACAUCAGUUA